UCCAAAUGGCCACCACGAGCCGGGAGAGGGCUGAAAAGGCCCCAAACUGGGCCUAAAUAGCUCAAAGAAAACCUGGAGGAAGGGGAACCUUUAAACACCUCUCCACGGCAGCACCCCGGAGGCCCCCGAUUACUGUUUUUACCCAAAUUGAAGAUGACUCUAAAUUUAAGAUGACCCCCUUAAAAAGUAGAGGUUAAAUACAAGUGAUAACUGCAUUUAUUCAAGAGGAGCAGGACUCUGAAUUUAAGACAUCCUUAUGAUUUCUAAUAUCAAAACCUCGUCUUGGAUUCAGGAUUUUCAAGCUUGCCAGAUGGAAGGAGAGAUCUACACACCCAGGUUCCUCCCCCAUACAAUUAGGAUAGCCUGAACCAUCAUUAUUUAGAAUAUUAUUGAGUGUAUUAAUCACCUUUCAUUUUCCCAAGGUGAUGUACAUAAUGUAACAAUAAAAACAAAAAACCCAAAACAAUAACAAUAGAAAAUAAAAGCAGCAUUAAUAUUAAGAACAAAAAUGCUAAUUUAAAAGCAGAUUAUUCCAAGUACUAAACUUCUUACACAUUAUAGGGUAAUAGUAAACUUCUUACACAUUAUAGGGUGCAAAGC